GCGGAGGGGGGGGGGGGGGGGGGCUCGGCCCUACGGCCCCAGGGGCAGCGGGGCAGGGGGCUCCGGCCCGGGGCUCAUCGUAGGGCUCCCGUCCCGCCGGGGCCGGGGCCGGUGCCGGUGGCGGUCGGGAGGCACCUGCGGAGCCGGGGCUGGCGGUGCGGUGCGGAGCGGCUCUGUCCCCUCCUACCGCUGCUGCGCGCAGCUCGCACAAAGCCCCGGCGCGGAGCGUGCACACGCGGGCACACACACACACACACACACACACACACACACGCACGCACACGCACACAAGCACAAGCACACGCGCACAGACAGGCGUGCACACACACACGGACACGCGCGCACCCGCACCGAUGCGCCCCGCACUCGCUCUGCGCGCACCGCAGCAGCAGCUCAGGGGGGCACCGGGCACGAGGGGGGCGCAGGGGACACGGGACGCAGCGGGGACGUGGGAUAAACACGGGGGAUGCAGGACACGAGAAGGGAUGUAGGGUACGGGACACGGGACACACAGGGGAUACGGGACAUGGGAUGGACGCAGGGGACACAGGACACAGGGAAGGACACGGGAUGGACACAGGGGAUGUGGGAUGAACACAGGGGACACAGGACACAGAGGGGACACAGGUCACGGGGGAUACAGGAUGGACACAGGGGUGGCUCCAACCCACCCCAACAGCUCCCCCCAAGCCCCGGCUACCCCACCGUGCCGGUGUCCCCCGAGGUCCCCGCUGUCCCCUGUGUCCUGGGAAUCCCCCUCUCUGCUGUGUCCCCAGAGCUCCCGGUGUCCCCUGUGUCCCUGACAGCAGGUGCAGGGCGAGGUGAGGUGGUGGGGCUGGGGGCUUGGACCAGUGGGGCUGAAGCUGGGGGAUGCAGGGGGCCUGGGGACGGUUCUGUUUGGUGCCCGUGGGCUGUCACUGCCAAGUGUAAUGACCUCGGUGACGGAGACAAAGCGCUGCGAAGGCACCGGGAAGCGAAGAGCGGAGCCAUUUCCUGCCACUAAAUUCAUCCCUGAGCAGGAAUUUGGGUGUGAUAAUCCAGCACCAGCACAGCCACCACCGAUUUUAAACAUCGUACAGCCGGGGGCAGCAGUUUCUCACCCCCUUGGACUGCCACGAAAGAGGCACCAGGCUCCUUGCGGUGAAGUCUCAUUAAACGAGAGA
rnacentral:lncRNA from 1 species